CACGUAGGGCGCAAGCGUUGUCCGGAAUUAUUGGGCGUAAAGAGCUCGUAGGUGGUUUGUUACGUCUGCUGUGAAAACCUAGGGCUUAACCCUGGGCUUGCAGUGGAUACGGGCAGACUAGAGGUAGGUAGGGGAGAAUGGAAGUUCCUGGUGGUAGCGGUGAAAUGCGCAGAUAUCAUGAGGAAGACCAGUGGCGAAGGCGGGUCUCUGGACAGUUCCUGACACUGAGGCACGAAGGCCAGGGGAGCAAACGGG
rnacentral:rRNA from 1 species